GGAUUAGAUACCCUGGUAGUCCACGCCCUAAACGAUGUGUGCUAGACGUCGGGGGGCUUGCCCUUCGGUGUCGGAGCUAACGUGUUAAGCACACCGCCUGGGGAGUACGGUCGCAAGAUUAAAACUCAAAGGAAUUGACGGGGGCCCGCACAAGCGGUGGAGCAUGUGGUUUAAUUCGACGCAACGCGCAGAACCUUACCAGCCCUUGACAUGAUGGUUACGGUUCCGAGAGAUCGGUUCUUCAGUUCGGCUGGACCAUCACAGGUGCUGCAUGGCUGUCGUCAGCUCGUGCCG
rnacentral:rRNA from 1 species